GACGAACGCUGGCGGCAUGCCUAAUACAUGCAAGUCGAGCGAACAGAUGAAGUGCUUGCACUUCUGACGUUAGCGGCGAACGGGUGAGUAACACGUAAGGAAUCUACCUAUAAGCGGGGGAUAACAUUCGGAAACGGGUGCUAAUACCGCAUAAUAUCUUCUUCCGCAUGGAAGAAGAUUGAAAGACGGCUCUGCUGUCACUUAUAGAUGACCUUGCGGUGCAUUAGUUAGUUGGUGGGGUAACGGCCUACCAAGACGAUGAUGCAUAGCCGACCUGAGAGGGUGAUCGGCCACAUUGGGACUGAGACACGGCCCAAACUCCUACGGGAGGCAGCAGUAGGGAAUCUUCCGCAAUGGGCGAAAGCCUGACGGAGCAAUGCCGCGUGAGUGAAGAAGGCCUUCGGGUCGUAAACUCUGUUAUAAGAGAAGAACAAAUUGUAGAGUAACUGCUACAGUCUUGACGGUAUCUUAUCAGAAGGCCACGGCUAACUACGUGCCAGCCGCCGCCGUAA
rnacentral:rRNA from 1 species